rnacentral:rRNA from 1 species
AUUGAACGCUGGCGGCAUGCUUUACACAUGCAAGUCGGACGGCAGCGGGGUAGUGCUUGCACUACUGCCGGCGAGUGGCGAACGGGUGAGUAAUAUAUUGGAACGUACCGAGUAAUGGGGGAUAACCAAUCGAAAGAUUGGCUAAUACCGCAUACGCUCUGAGGAGGAAAGCAGGGGACCUUCGGGCCUUGCGUUAUUCGAGCGGCCAAUAUCUGAUUAGCUAGUUGGUGGGGUAAGGGCCUACCAAGGCGACGAUCAGUAGCGGGUCUGAGAGGAUGAUCCGCCACACUGGGACUGAGACACGGCCCAGACUCCUACGGGAGGCAGCAGUGGGGAAUUUUGGACAAAGGGCGCAAGCCUGAUCCAGCCAUGCCGCGUGUCUGAAGAAGGCCUUCGGGUUGUAAAGGACUUUUGUUAGGGAAGAAAAAGGAGCGGUUAAUACCCGUUUCUGCUGACGGUACCUAAAGAAUAAGCACCGGCUAACUACGUG